UCGUUGGCUCGUUCGAUCUCCCAAUCCAACGGACCAAUCAUCUCCCACGAGAUUCUGUUACUGUGGACUUCUGAUUUUACUGUGCUAGAUUCUCUGCUUCUUGCCCGUUCCCUUCUGUUUGAAGCUGAUAUUACUGGCUUCUGCUAUUCGGUAACAAAGGUCCACCGUAUAGACUAGGAUUCCUGCUUUUAACAUCUCUUCUCCACUCUUCUCGUGGUUUCCGUCCUCGUCCAAUCGUCCUCCGCCGCUGUCGCGAGCCCUCCGUCUCUCCCCUACACCGCUCCUCCCUCUCGUCUCUCUCCUUCCCUCUCCCACUCGGAUCUCCCUCAGCACUCGCAGAGGCUCGCUGCGAUGGGGCCCAUGGCGGGGCUCCAUGCCCUCGCCCACCUUUCCCUACGCAUGGCGGCGGCGCUGUCGCCGCUCGCAGUGACUGGGCUUUCACCGUCGUCUUUGCCGUACUCGCUGUACUCCUCUCCACUGGCGACCUACCUCUGCAUAGCUUCAGCCACUACCUCACUAAUGACUGGAUCCGCGGCGUCUUCGCGGGGCGUCCAUAGGUAUGUUUUGUUCUACAUCCUAUCUCUGUCUCCCUCAUGUUCUCUUCCAGAUCUCAAAGGUUACAGGUUAAAGCUCCAAGGUAGCGACACACAGGGUCUUCACUUUCCUGUCCACUCGAAGGCGAAGCUGACCCAGUCUGCUGGUGUAUGGCCUGAGGGCCUUCCUUCAAAUCUAAAUGGUGGGAAAUCCGAUUGUUGAUUUGAGGUCUGUCGAGUGGGACAACGAGCUGGGAGUUGUGAAUUUGUGCCUUAACCAAGUUCCGUAUUCAGGAUUGUUGGUAGCAGCUGGUAGCCUGGCAACUUCUGCUAAUCUUGAACAUGAAGUGACAAGUCGCAAAAAACGAGCCCAAGGACGGAGGCCUGAAGCCAUUUCCAACAGGUUAGUGGCCUGGAUAGUAUGCCGGUAUCUGUGUGUUAUUUUGGUGUGUACUAAUCCCAAAAUGGUCCUGUACCAAUAGAAAAAGGAAUACACAUUAAUACUAAAUAUUUAACAAGUCUUGGUGAUGGUAAAUACUGAUGAAAUACUGUACCAAAGCAUUGUAAUGUGUUACAGUAUAUGUGUCCAUUGUUAAACCUGAUGCCUUUGGCUCCUUCUUGGCUUUUUUUCUCUGUUGUCUUGCCUUCUCAAAAGCACCAUUUGUUACAAUAUCUGCUUCCAUUCUAUGCAUUAUUCACAGGUAUGUCUGAUCACAUUCUACAGGUCGAGCAGCUAAGUGAAGAUACAUUCUGCUUAAGUCUUUUCUAUGUUUUGAUAGCUUCGCUUUUGGGUCUUCAUGUAUCUCAACAUUACUCUUUAUGAGAAGCACUUUUACAUCAAUCGUCCAUUUGUGUGGUAUGUACUGUUUAGGAUUUUUUUUGAUAUUGUUAAUAUCAAGAAUCUUCGAUGCAUGGCAGCAUAGGAUUGCAGCAAAUUCAUACUUAUUGUCUCCCAGCUAUUUACCUUCCAGUUGUACCCUGCUUAUUAGAUAUUCUAUUAUCCUAAACCAUAUUGUAUAAGAUUUUUAGUUUCUGAGCCUUGCCUACUAAGUCUUUGAGAAAAAUUAGAUAUGCCAAUUUGGGAUGCAACCAAGUGCUAUUAUUAUGAUGGGUGUAUAUAUCUAUAUGGUACCUCUGUGCUUAGUUCAUGUCAAAAGCUUUUUUUGCUGAUGCACCGUCAGCUGUCAGCGGUGCAAAUGAUGAAAAUCUGAUGAAAAUAACAUCAUGCAGGUAGACAAUAUAGGCUGAUGACCUUGCUCACCUAUUAGCGUACUUACCAUUAUAAUUUGUUCCUCGGAUUUUGUGUUUAUAUAUGUUUAAUAAUUUUGUUUUUUUGCAGGUUCUAAUUUCUAUGAUUGCUCUUGUUAUACAAUAUAUUCAGUACAGACUCAUGCCCUAUCUGGUUGUAUGUAACUAUCAGGACCGCAUCAUCGUACAAGAGAUACUUUUAACAACUCCUCAAUGGACACCUCAGACAAUGACAAUCAAGGUUGAGAAUCCGACCACCACAGCAAUGUUCCAUUGAUCGUUUGUACAACUACAUCCAAAUGUACAAGAUGCUCCAAUCAAGUUGCUACUAACCUUGCUUCGUCCCUGUCACACAAGUAAUGCACAGGCGGAGCUAUACACGACGCGGGUGCAAAACGCCCAAGACUCACGAGCGGUGGUGGCUCAUCACUUGGUGCCGGCAGCGGUGACGCCGGCGCCGUGCUGGGACUGGGAGCGCUGGGAGACGGCCUCGACGAGGUUGUGCACGGCCUUGUCGUAGCUGACGAAGCCCAUGAACCAGAAGUCGUGGGAGUCCACGGUGACGAUGUGCACGUACUUCUCCGGCGGGUUCUCCUUCAUCGUCACCGGCUCCACCGUCGCGAUCUUGCCAAGAGGGAUAAUAACCUUGUAGUAGCUCCAAGCGGUCUGGCCAGACGGCGCGGUGAAGGAGAGCGGGCGGUCGCUGCAGAAGGCGACGUUCAUGUUGGUCAGGUAGAGCGUGCCGGCGACGGGGCCGGUGGCCGUCGACAGGUAGCAAGCGAACGUCUUCUUCAGGUGCUCCUCGGGGCUGGAGGAGAAGGUCUGCUUGUACAGCUUGUCGAAGCCGCCCUCGGACAGGGCCUUGGCGCCCAGGCUUAGCUUCCCCAUCGCCGCGUCAGACAUGGAUGGCGCAGUCUUCACUAGAAAAUGUAUAGAACACAUGUCAAAUUUAUGCCGGGAAAUGAGCUCUGCCAUCAGCGCGAUCACUGAAAGUUCUGCUCUGUGGAUUGUCAUGUUGGCAGUAAACAAAAGCACAAAGUACUAAAAUUUCAAAAUCAGCAAACGUAAAUUAGAUGGCA